rnacentral:rRNA from 1 species
GGGCAAUCUGCCCUGCACUCUGGGACAAGCCCUGGAAACGGGGUCUAAUACCGGAUACUGACCCUCGCAGGCAUCUGCGAGGUUCGAAAGCUCCGGCGGUGCAGGAUGAGCCCGCGGCCUAUCAGCUAGUUGGUGAGGUAAUGGCUCACCAAGGCGACGACGGGUAGCCGGCCUGAGAGGGCGACCGGCCACACUGGGACUGAGACACGGCCCAGACUCCUACGGGAGGCAGCAGUGGGGAAUAUUGCACAAUGGGCGAAAGCCUGAUGCAGCGACGCCGCGUGAGGGAUGACGGCCUUCGGGUUGUAAACCUCUUUCAGCAGGGAAGAAGCGAAAGUGACGGUACCUGCAGAAGAAGCGCCGGCUAACUACGUGCCAGCAGCCGCGGUAAUACGUAGGGCGCAAGCGUUGUCCGGAAUUAUUGGGCGUAAAGAGCUCGUAGGCGGCUUGUCACGUCGGUUGUGAAAGCCCGGGGCUUAACCCCGGGUCUGCAGUCGAUACGGGCAGG